rnacentral:rRNA from 1 species
CCUACGGGGUGCAGCAGUGGGGGAUAUUGCACAAUGGGGGGAACCCUGAUGCAGCGACGCCGCGUGGGUGAAGAAGCGCCUCGGCGCGUAAAGCCCUGUCAGCAGGGAAGAAAAUGACGGUACCUGCAGAAGAAGCACCGGCUAACUACGUGCCAGCAGCCGCGGGAAUACGUAGGGGGCAAGCGUUAUCCGGAUUUACUGGGUGUAAAGGGGGCGCAGACGGCGAUGCAAGCCAGGAGUGAAAGCCCGGGGCCCAACCCCGGGACGGCUCUUGGAACUGCGUGGCUGGAGUGCAGGAGGGGCAGGCGGAAUUCCUGGUGUAGCGGUGAAAUGCGUAGAUAUCAGGAGGAACACCGGUGGCGAAGGCGGUCUGCUGGACAGCAACUGACGCUGAGGCGCGAAAGCGUGGGGAGCAAACAGGAUUAGAUACCCUUGUAGUC